GACGAACGCUGGCGGCGUGCUUAACACAUGCAAGUCGAACGGUAAGGCCCUUCGGGGUACACGAGUGGCGAACGGGUGAGUAACACGUGGGUGAUCUGCCCUGCACUUCGGGAUAAGCCUGGGAAACUGGGUCUAAUACCGGAUAGGACCACUGCCUGCAUGGGUGGUGGUGGAAAGCUUUUGCGGUGUGGGAUGGGCCCGCGGCCUAUCAGCUUGUUGGUGGGGUGAUGGCCUACCAAGGCGACGACGGGUAGCCGGCCUGAGGGGGUGACCAGCCACACUGGGAAUGAGAUACGGCCCAGACUCCUACGGGAGGCAGCAGUGGUGAAUAUUGCACAAUGGGCGCAAGCCUGAUGCAGCGACGCCGCGUGAGGGAUGACGGCCUUCGGGUUGUAAACCUCUUUCAGCACCGACGAAGCGCAAGUGACGGUAGGUGCAGAAGAAGGACCGGCCAACUACGUGCCAGCCGCCGCAGUAA
rnacentral:rRNA from 1 species